AACGAACGCUGGCGGCAGGCCUAACACAUGCAAGUCGAGCGGACCCUUCGGGGUUAGCGGCGGACGGGUGAGUAACGCGUUGGAAUAUGCCCUUCUCUACGGAAUAGUCCUGGGAAACUGGGGGUAAUACCGUAUAUGCCCUUUGGGGGAAAGAUUUAUCGGGGAAGGAUUAGCCCGCGUUGGAUUAGGUAGUUGUUGGGGUAAUGGCCUACCAAGCCGACGAUCCAUAGCUGGUUUGAGAGGAUGAUCAGCCACACUGGGACUGAGACACGGCCCAGACUCCUACGGGAGGCAGCAGUGGGGAAUCUUAGACAAUGGGGGCAACCCUGAUCUAGCCAUGCCGCGUGAGUGAUGAAGGCCUUAGGGUUGUAAAGCUCUUUCAGCUGGGAAGAUAAUGACGGUACCAGCAGAAGAAGCCCCGGCUAACUCCGUG
rnacentral:rRNA from 1 species